UCUGACGAAAAUGAUAAGGAAACAUGGGGCACCUUCAGCAGUUGGUUUGAAGUUCUUUGGUUAAUGAGGGCACCAUUUAGAGGAAGGCGUGCACAAGAGUAUCAUUUGGUUAAUAUGCGCUUAAUAGUCAGUGAAAAUGUGAAGACUCUUGUUACUUGCAUUAACUGUCUGAACAAGGCUGGAAGAUCACAGUGCUACAGUUAGAGCCUUAGCUUGGGGCCUAUUCCAGGCUAACUUGCUUGCUUCUGGUGGAGGUGCAGCUGAUGGACAUGUUAAAUUCUGGAACACCCACACUGGAGCUUGCUUGAAAUCUGUCGAUACUGGUU